rnacentral:lncRNA from 1 species
AGAACGACCGAGUUUCUCUCAGCCGAGAACUGUGGCUGCCCCUCCGGUGAAAACAGAGGAAGUGGGAGCGGCAGGAAGCGCUUUGGGACCAGGGCGACCCCUGAAGCGUAGAGGAACCAGGUCACAAGCAUACGUGAAUGCUCACAUUCCAUAGUUAUCAAAUGUAUUCAGGUUUAAAUUUUACUUUUCUAGAAAAAAUGUAAAUAAUCCGUUGAGAAUAUUUAAUGAAAAAUGUUGGUCGUAUCUUUAUCUGGUCUGCGGCUCUGUCCCUGUUUCCUGGAUAGGAGACUACGUCUGUAUCUUGUAUCACAGGAGGCACCUUCUUCCUGUUUCCUGGCACAGACUUUAAAUCUUAGUGCUCCUCACUCUUUGCGUCUACGCUGCUUUUAUGAACUGUUAACACUCACUGUGAAGGUCUGCAGCUUCACUCCUUAAGCCAGCGAGACCACAAACCCACUGGGAGGGAUAAACAACUCCAGACGGGAGGAACAAACAACUUCGGGUGCACCACCUUUAUGAACUGUAGCACUCACUGUGAAGGUCUGCAGCUUCACUCCUGAGGCCAGCAAGACCACGAACCCACCAGAAGGAACGAACAACUCCAGAUAUGCCACCUUUAAGGGCUAUAACACUCACCGCGGAAGUCUGCAGCUUCACUCCUGAAGUCAGUGAGACCAUGAACCCACCAGAAGGAAGAAACUCUGGACACAUCUGAACAUCUGAAGGAACAAACUCUGGACACACCAUCUUUAAGAACUGUAACACUCACCGCGAGGGUACACGGCUUCAUUCUUGAAGUCAGCGAGACUAAGAACCCAACAAUUCCGGACACAGCAUGAUCUUGGUUCACUACAACCUGGAUCUCCCAGAGUCAAGCAAUCCUCUCGUCUCAGUCUCCCAAGUAGCUGGAACUACAGGUAUUUCUGGUCUUUAAAGACACUUGGAAAAGACAGACUUGUUGAAUACUUAGAAAGGCCAAGCCACAGCCAGAAGCUUGGUGUCUGGGAUCCAUCAUCUCUAAGGUUUUAAAAGCAUCUUGCUGGAAUAGGAACAGCUCCGGUCUGCAGCUCUCAGCAAGACCAACACAGAAGAUGGGUGAUUUCUGCAUUUCCAGCUGAGGUACCUGGUUCAUCUCAUUGGGACUAGUUGGACAGUGGGUGCAGCCCAUGGAGGGCGAGCCAAAGCAGGGCAGGGCAUCGCCUCACCUGGGAAGUGCAAGGGGUCAGGGGAUUUCCCUUUCCUAGCCAAGGGAAGCCGUGACAGACUGUACCUGGAGGAACAGUACACUCCUGCCCAAAUACUGGGCUUUUCCCAUGGUCUUCACAACUGACAGACCAGGAGAUUCCCUCCCGUGCCUGGCUCGGUGGGGCUCAUGCCCAUGGAUCCUUGCUUACUGCCAGUGCAGCAGUCUUAAGAUUGGCCUGGCAUGCUGCAGCUUGUUGGGGGGGUGGGAGGGCGUCCGCCAUUCCUGAGGCUUGAGUAGGCAGUUUUAUGCUCACAGUGUAAACAGGCCGGGAAGCUUGAACUGGGUGGAGCCCACUGCAGCUCAGCAAGGCCUACUGCCUCUCUAGAUUCCACCUCUGUGGGCAGGGCAUGUCAGAACAAAAGGCAGCAGACAGCUUUGGCAGACCUAAACGCCCCUGUCUGACAGUUCUGAAGAGAGCAGUGGUUCUCCCAGCAUGGCAUUUGAGCUCCGAAAAUGGACAGACUGCCUCCUCAAGUCGGUCCUUGACCCCCGUGUACCCUGACUGGGAGACACCUCCCAGUAGGGGCCAACAGACACCUCACACAGGCAGGUGCCCCUCUGGAACAAAGCUUCCAGAGGAAGGAUCAGGCAGCAAUAUUUGCUGUUCUGCAGCCUCCGCUAGUGAUAUCCAGGCAAACAGGGUCUGGAGUGGACCUCCAGCAAAUUCCAACAGACCUGCAGCUGAGGGUCCUGACUGUUAGAAGGAAAACUAACAAACAGAAAGGAAUAGCAUCAACACCAACAAAAAGGACAUCCACACCAAAACCCCAUCUGUAGGUCACCAACAUCAAAGACCAAAGGUAGAAAAAACCACAAAGAUGGGAAGAAACCAGAGCAGAAAAGCUGAAAAUUCCAAAAACCAGAUUGCCUCUUCUCCUCCAAAGGAUCACAGCUCCUCACCAGCAAGGGAACAAAACUGGAUGGAGAAUGAGUUUGACAAGUUGACAGAAGUAGGCUUCAGAAGGUUGGUAACAAACUUCUGCGAGCUAAAGGAGGAUGUUCAAACCCAUCGCAAGGAAGCUGAAAACCUUGAAAAAAGGUUAGACAAAUGGCUAACUAGAAUAAACGGUAUAGAGAAGACCUUAAAUGACCUGAUGGAGCUGAAACCCAUGGCACGAGAACUACAUGACUCAUGCACAAGCUUCAGUAGCUGAUUCAAUCAAGUGGAAGAAAGGGUAUCAGUGAUUGAAGAUCAACUCAAUGAAAUAGAGCAAGAAGACAAGAUUAGAGAAAAAAGAAUGAAAAGAAAUGAACAAAGCCUCCAAGAAAUAUGGGACUAUGUGAAAAGACCAAAUCUACAUUUGACUGGUGUACCUGAAAGUGACGGGGAGAAUGGAACCAAGUUACAAAAUACUCUUCAGGAUGUUAUCCAGGAGGACUUCCCUAACCUAGCAAGGCAGGAAAACAUUCAAAUUUAGGAAAUACAAAGAACACCACAAAGAUACUUCUUAAGAAGAGCAACUCCAAGACACACAAUUGUCAGAUUCACCAAGGAUGAAAUGAAGGAAAAAAUGUUAAGGGCAGCCAGAGAGAAAGGUCGGGUCACCCACAAAGGGGAGCCCAUCAGACUAACAGCGGAUCUCUCAGCAGAAACCUUACAAGCCAGAAGAGAGUGGGGGCCAAUAUUCAACAUUUUUAAGAAAAGAAUUUUCAAACCAGAAUUUCAUAUCCAGCCAAACUAAGCUUCAUAAGUGAAGGAGAAAUAAAAUCCUUUACAGACAAGCAAAUGUUGAGAGAUUUUGUCACCACCAGGCCUGCUUUACAAGAGCUCCUGAAGGAAGCACUAACCAUGGAAAGGAACAACUGGUAUCAGCCACUGCCACUGCAAAAACAUGCCAAAGUGUAAAGACCAUUGACACUAUGAAGAAACUGCAUCAAUUAAUGGGCAAAAUAACCAGCUAACAUCAUAGUGACAGGAUCAAAUUCACCCAUAACAAUAUUAAUCUUAAAUGUAAAUAGGCUAAAUGCCCCAACUGAAAAACAGACUGACAAAUUGGAUAAAAAGUCAAGACCCAUCGUUGUACUGUAUUCAGGAGACCCAUUUCAUGUGCAAAGAUACAAAUAGGCUCAAAAUAAAGGGAUGGAGGAAGAUCUACCGAGCAAAUGGAAAGCAAAAAAAAAAUCAGGGGUUGCAAUCCUCGUUUCUGACUAAAAAAAAAAAAAAAGAUUUCAAACCAACAAAGAUCAAAAGAGAGAAAGAAGGGCAUUACAUAAUGGUAAAGGGAUCAAUUCAAUAAGAAGAACUAACUAUCCUAAAUACAUAUGCACCCCAAACAGGAGCACCCAGAUUCAUAAAGCAAGUCCUUGGAGACCUACAAAGAGAUUUAGACUCCCACACAGUAAUAAUGGGAGACUUUAAUACCCCACUGUCAAUAUUAGACAGAUCAAUGAGACAGAAGGUUAACAAGCAUAUCCAGGACUUGAACUCAGCUCUGGACCAAGGGGACCGAAUAGACAUCUACAGAACUCUCCACCCCAAAUCAACAGAAUAUACAUUCUUCUCAGCACCACAUCACGCUUAUUCUAAAAUUGACCACAUAAUUGGAAGUAAAACACUCCUCAGCAAAUAUAAAAGAACAGAAAUCACAACAAACUGUCUGUCAGACCACAGUGCAAUCAAAUUAGAACUCAGGAUUAAGAUUCACUCAAAACUGCACAACUACAUGGAAAUUGAACUACCUGCUCCUGAAUGACUACUGGGUAAAUAAUGAAAUGAAGGCAGAAAUAAAGAUGUUGUUUGAAACCAAUGAGAACAAAGACACAACAUACCAGAAUCUCUGGGACACAUUUAAAGCAGUGUGUAGAGGGAAAUUUAGAGCACUAAAUGCCCACAAGAGAAAGCAGGAAAGAUCUAAAAUCAACACCCUAACAUCACAAUUAAAAGAACUAGAGAAGCAAGAGCAAACACAUUCAAAAGCUAGCAGAAGGCAAGAAAUUACUAAGAUCAGAGCAGAACUGAUGGAGAUAGAGACACAAAAAACCCUUCCAAAAAAUCAGUGAAUCUAGGAGCUGGUUUUUUGAAAAGAUCAACAAAAUUGAUAGACUGCUAGCAAGACUAAUAAAGAAGAAAAGAGAGAAGAAUCAAAUAGACACAAUAAAAAAUGAUAAAGGGGACAUCACCACCAAUCCCUCAGAAAUACAAACUACCAUCAGGAAUACUAUAAACACCUCUACACGAAUAAACUAGAAAAUCUAGAAGAAAUGAAUAAAUUCCUGGACACAUACACCCUCCCAAGACUAAACCAGGAAGAAGUUGAAUCCCUGAAUAGACCAAUAACAGGCUCUGAAAUUGAGGCAAUAAUUAAUAGCCUACCAACCAAAAAAAGUCCAGGACCAGACGGAUUCACAGCCAAAUUCUACUGGAGGUACAAAGAGGAGUUGGUACCAUUCCUUCGGAAACUAUUCCAAUCAAUAGAAAAAGAGAGAAUCCUCCCUAACUCAUUUCAUGAGAACAGCAUCAUCCUGAUACCAAAGCCUGGCAGAGACACAACAAAAAAAGAAAAUUUAAGCCAAUAUCCCUGAUGAACAUCAAUGCAAAAAUCCUCAAUAAAAUACUGGCAAACGAAAUCCAGCAGCACAUCAAAAAGCUUAUCCACCAUGAUCAAGCCGGCUUCAUCCCUGGGAUUCAAGGCUGGUUCAACAUAUGCAAAUCAAUAAAUGUAAUCCAUCACAUAAACAGAACCAACGACAAAAACCACAUGAUUAUCUCAAUAGAUGUAGAAAAGGCCUUCGACAAAAAUUCAACAACCCUUCAUGCUAAAAACUCUCAAUAAACUAUGUAUUGAUGACAUAUUUCAAAAUAAUAAGAGCUAUUUAUGACAAACCCACAGUCAAUAUCAUACUGAAUGGGCAAAAACUGGAAGCAUUCCCUUUGAAAAUUGGCACAAGACAAGGAUGCCCUCUCUCACCACUCCUAGUCAACAUAGUGGUGGAAGUUCUGGCCAGGGCAAUCAAGCAAGAGAAAGAAAUAAAGGGUAUUCAAUUAGGAAAAGAGGAAGUCAAAUUGUCUCUGUUUGCAGAUGACAUGACUGUAUAUUUAGAAAACACCAUCAUCUCAGCCCAAAAUCUCCUUAAGCUGAUAAGCAACUUCAGCAAAGUCUCAGGACACAAAAUCAUUGCACAAAAAUCACAAGUAUUCCUAUAUACCAAUAACAGACAAACAGAGAGCCAAAUCAUGAAUGGACUCCCAUUCACAAUUACUACAAAGAAAAUAAAAUACCUAGGAAUCCAACUUACAAGGGAUGUGAAGGACCUCUUCAAGGAGAACUACAAACCACUGCUCAACAAAAUAAAAGAGGACAAACAAACGGAAGAACAUUCUAUGCUCAUGGAUAGGAAGAAUCAAUAUCGUGAAAAUGGCCAUACUGCCCAAGGUAAUUUAUAGAUUCAAUGCCAUCCCCAUCAAGCUACCAAUGACUUUCUUCACAGAAUUGGAAAAAACUACUUUAAAGUUCAUAUGGAACAAAAAAAGAGCCCACAUUGCCAAGACAAUCCUAAGCAAAAAGAACAAAGCUGGAGGCAGCACGCUACCUGACUUCAAACUAUAGUACAAGACUACAGUAACCAAAACAGCAUGGUAGUGGUACCAAAACAGAUAUAUAGACAAAUGGAACAGAACAGAGGCCGCAGAAAUAACACCACACAUCUACAACCAUCUGAUCUUUGACAAACCUGACAAAAACAAGCAUGGGGAAAGGAUUUCCUGUUUAAUAAAUGGUGCUGGGAAAACUGGCUAGCCAUAUGUAGAAAGCUGAAACAGGAUCCCUUCCUUACACUUUAUACAAAAAUUAACUCAAGAUGUAUUAAAGACUUAAACAUAAGACCUAAAACCAUAAAAACCCUAGAAGAAAACCUAGGCAAUACUAUUCAGGACAUAGGCAUGGAUAAAUGCUUCAUGACUAAAACACCAAAAGCAAUGGCAACAAAAGCCAAAAUAGACAAAUGGGAUCUAAUUAAACUAAAGAGCUUCUGCACAGCAAAAGAAACUAUCAUCACAGUGAACAGGCAACCUACAGAAUGGGGAAAAAUUUUGCAAUCUACCCAUCUGGCAAAGGGCUAAUAUCCAGAAGCUACAAAGAACUUAAACAAAUUUACAACAAAAAAAUCAAACAACCCCAUCAACAAGUGGGCGAAGGAUAUGAACAGACACUUCUCAAAAGAAGACAUUUAUGCAGCCAAAAGACAUAUGAAAAAAUGCUCAUCAUCACUGGUCACCAGAGAAAUGCAAAUCAAAACCACAAUGAGAUGCCAUCUCACGCCAGUUAGAAUGGUGAUCAUUAAAAAGUCAGGAAACAACAGAUGCUGGAGAGGAUGUGGAGAAAUAAGAACACUUUUACACUGUUGGUGGGAGUGUAAAUCAGUUCAACCAUUGUGGAAGACAAUGCAGCGAUUCCUCAAGGAUCUAGAACUAGAAAUACCAUUUGACCCAGCCAUCCCAUUACUGGGUAUAUACCCAAAGGAUUAUAAAUCAUGAUAAGGACACAUGCACAUGUAUGUUUAUUGCGGCACUAGUCACAGUAGCAAAGACUUGGAACCAACCCAGAUGUCCAUCAAUGAUAGACUGGAUUAAGAAAAUGUGGCACAUAUACACCGUGGAAUACUAUGCAGCCAUAAAAAAGGAUGAGUUCAUGUCCUUUGCAGGGACAUGGAUGAAGCUGGAAACCAUCAUUCUCAGCAAACUAUCACAAGGACAGAAAACCAAACACUACAUGUUCUCACUCAUAAGUGGGAGUUGAACAAUGAGAAUACACAGACACAGGGCAGGGAACAUCACACACCGAGGCCUGUGGGGGGGUUGGGGGUUAGGGAAGGGAUAGCAUUAGGAGAACUACCUAAUGUAAAUCACCAGUUGAUGGGUGCAGCAAACCACCAUGGCACAGGUAUACCUAUGUAACAAACAUGCAUGUUGUGCACAUGUACCCCAGAUCUUAAAGUAUAAUAAAAUAAAAAAUAAAAAAAAUCUUCCCUACUUUUUAAACUGUAUGUUGCUUUGUAGCAAUACAUUAUGCACAUUAUAAAGUGUUUUAAUUAGAAAUUUUAGAAGAUAUGAUAAAGAAAAAUAAUUUAAAUAACAAUUUUUAUUCAAAAUACAAAUAAUAGGGCUGGGCGCGGUGGCUGACGCCUGUAAUCCUAGCACUUUGGCAGGCCGAGGCGGGCAGAUCACGAGGUCAGGAGUUCAAGACCAGCCUGGCCAACAUGGUGAAACCCUGUCUCUACUAAAAAUACAAAAAAUUAGCUGGGCGUAGUGGCGGGUGCCUGUAAUCCCAGCUACUCGGGAGACUAAGGCACAAGAAUCGCUUGAACCCGGGAGGCGGAGGUUGCAGUGAGCCGAGAUCGCACCACUGCACUCCAGCCUAGGCGACAGAGUGAGACUGUGUCUCAAAAAAGAAAAAAAAAGAAAAGAAAAGAAAAAGAAAAAAGAAUAUUUUGCCCUUAUAACAUUAUUAAUUAUAUACUUUCAAGUGAGAGCAAUAUGACUAAUUAUGCUUAAUUAUUUUUGAAAAUGAUGCUUUAACAAUUUGUAAUGCAGACAUUUGAUGGUCUGGUUCUAUGUUGAGUUCAUGUUGAUACUUGGUCUUAAGGACAGUUAGAGCUGAUAAAAAUAACUUGUGCAUAGACCAGGCGCGGUGGCUCACGCCUGUAAUACCAGCACUUUGGGAGUCUGAGGCGGGCGGAUCACGAGAUCAGGAGAUGGAGACCAUCCUGGCUAACACGGUGAAGCCCCGUCUCUAUUAAAAAUACAAAAAAAAUUAGCCAGGUGCGGUGGCAGGCACCUGUAGUCCCAGCUACUUGGAAGGCUGAGGCAGGAGAAUGGUGUGAACCUUGCAGUGAGCCGAGAUCACGCCACUGCACUACAGCCUGGGCAACAGAGCGAAACCCCGUCUCAAAAAAAAAAAAAAAGAAAGAAAAAAAAAAGAAAUAACUUCUGCACACAUCAUAACAUUCAUACAUAAUGAAUCAUUGAUAUACUCAUUAAAAUGUGACUCAUCCAGGAAAAUCCCAUCCCUAAAUUAUUUAAAGUUUUUGUUUUCCCUCAGCUACUAUUUCUGUUCUACCUUAUGCAAACUAAUGAGAAACCAUUGUCCCAAGACUGGUGGCCUCCUGGCAUGGUUGUGCAACAGCUGUUGUCAAACUCCAGAGUCUAAAGUGCACCACGAAAGCCAGAUGGCAGGCCAGAUCCAGCCUCCCUGCUAAAUGAAAUGUUCACUGGCCAGGGAGAAACAACCACGUGGAAAAUUAAAUAAACCCAUGACAUUUGUAGCCAGCAGCUCGGGUGUUUUGUAGGGUUUUCCCUGAGAAGUGGGGACUAAUCGCAUGAAUCACUUUUUUUUUCUUUUUAGAGUCUUAUCUAUUUGUGAAUAAAUGUUUCCAAUUAAAGCAUUGCUACUAAGCCUCAGUUUUCUCACCUCUACCAUGGAGUUAAAAUGUCUACUUCACACUGUCCAUAAAAGAAUUAAGAUGGCCGGGCGCGGUGGCUCACGCCUGUAAUCCCAGCACUUUGGGAGGCCGAGGCGGACGGAUCACGAGGUCAGGAGAUCGAGACCAUCCUGGCUAACACAGUGAAACCCCGUCUCUACUAAAAAUAUGAAAAACUAGCCUGGCGUGGUGGUGGACGCCUGUAGUCCCAGCUACUCAGGAGGCUAAGGCAGGAGAAUGGCGUGAACCCAGGAGGCGGAGCUUGCAGUGAGCCUAGAUUGUGCCACUGCACUCCAGCCUGGGCGACAGAGCAAGACUCCGUCUCAAAAAAAAAAAAAAAAAAAAAAAAAAAAAAAAAAAAAGCCAGGCAUGGUUGGUGGCUCACACCUGUAAUCUCAGAACUUUGGGAAACAGGCAGGAUCACUUCAGCCCAGAAGUGUGGGACCAGUCUGGGCAACAUAGUGAGAUCCUGUCUCUUAAAAAAAAAAAGAAAAGAAUCAAAAUAAAACAAGAAAACAAAAACACAGAACAAGUGCAUCAUCAUAGUGGUGACAAUUUUUAGGAAACUUUUUUUGUUUUUUUCUGUGUGAACCUAACUCAUCUAAUAAGGGAGUGUGUGAACAUUUCCAUGUUGGUCCAUUUUUUAUGUGCCUAAAUGGACAAAGUCACCCAGGACCUGGCUGCUGGACUCAUCCUUAGGAAGAAUAAAGAAAAAGGAAGUUUAUCUCUAGCAUCUUUCUCUUGCCCUUGUUUUCUUCCUGGCCACAGUCAUGCCCUGGAUUUCAGUGUCUCUAAACAUCUAGCAGCCUCUCACCCAGCAUAACCCCUGUUGAGGUCCAGGGCACGAUGGUGGGAGUGGGUGCAGAAGAGACAGAGAGACCACUGGUUUGAGUGUCUAGGGUUUGGGUCCUCAGGAAGAACUUGGCCCGGCGCGGUGGCUCACGCCCGUAAUCCAAACACUUCGGAGACCGAGGCGGUUGGAUCACCUGAGGUCAGGAGUUUGAGACCAGCCUGGCCAACAUGGUGAAACAACGUCUCUACUAAAAAUACAAAAAAUUAGCCAGGCGUGGUGGCAGGCACCUGUAAUCCCAGCUACUCAGGAGCUUGAGGCAGGAGAAUCACCUGAACUCGGGCCGCGGAGGUUGCAGUGAGCCGAGAUUGCGCCAGUGCACUCCACCCUGGGCAACAAGAGUGAAACUCCGUCUCAAAAAAAGAAAAAAAAAGAAGAAGAACUUCUUGACUUGACUCAGCAGGACUUUUUCCAUGGGUCUAAAGCUAGGUGUGAAGAGAGUGAGCUCGUGGUGAGAGGAACUUGUUCAUCAAAAGGAGUCCAUGCCCAGUGGCAGAAGUGGAGAGGUGGGUAUGGGACACACAGGGAAGCUGCUCUCUUCUGUUGUCUGUGGCUUCUGUUGGAGGAUGUGCUGUGGGAAUGCAAGGAGGAGAUGGAAGGAAGGUGUCAAUAUAGCUUUAACAAAGGAAAAAAAAAUGAAAACACCGAAACCACCCUUGCAAAAAUUGUAACAGUGAGAAAAUUAUGACAUUGAAAGAUAUCCAAUCUAACCCAACUCCUUCUUGCCUUUAACCUCCAAAUUGCACUUAGUCAUUCCUGAGCAAAGGCCAAGCUAACUUUGGGAGAAAUUUCGUUUACAGUUUAAAUGAUAAUAGCCCUUCCCAAAACUAACCUGUCUUUGUAAAAAUGAUGAAAGGCCACCAGGUUAGGGAGGAUGAGAGGGGCCUGAAUGCAGGCUUAGAUAAACAAUUACCCGCCAUUGUUUCAGAGGUCACAAGAUUUGUAACUUCCCCAAUUAGUCCUGUAAAAUGAUAUCACUGUGGCCUUUUGAGAUGUCUUUGCAGUUAUUUUUUGUUUUGUUUGCUUUGAGACAAGGUCUUGCUCUGUCACCAAGGCUGGAGUGCAGUGAUCAUAGCUCACUGCAGUCUCUAUCUCCUGGGCUCAAGUGAACCUUCCACCUCAGCCUUCCAAGUAGCUGGGACUGCAGGUGCAUGCCACCAUGCCUGGCCAGUUUUGUUGUUUUUUGGUUCUGGGGUGUUUUUUGCUUGUUUGUUUGUUUUGUUUUUGUAUUUUUAGUAGACAUGAUGUCUGGCUCUGUUGUUCAGGCUGGUCUCAAACUCCUGGACUCAAGCGAUCCUCCUGCCUCAGCCUCCCAAACUGCUGGGGUUACAGGCACGAGCCACCUUGCCCAGCUCAGGCUUUUCCAUUUUGGAAAACCAGAUGACUCCACCCAGAUCCAAGACCGGUCCUAUGGCCCCACUCAGAAGUGGACUCAGUGCACGAGGACCAUUUUCCACAUCCCUAUGAUUGCAUCCCAAUCAAUCAGCAGCACCCAUUCCCUAGCCACCUGCCCAGCAAACUAUCUUUUUUUUUCUUUUUUUCUUGAGACUCUGUCGCCCAGGCUGUAGUGCAGUGGUGCAAUCAUGGCUCACAGCAGCUUCAACCUCCCUGGCCCAGCCUCCCAAGUCACUGGGACUACAGGUGUACACCACCACACCUGGCUAAUUUUUAAAUUUUUUGUAGAGAUGGUGUCUUGCUGUGUUGUCCAGGCUGAUCUCAAACUCAAGGACUCAAGCAAUCCUCCUACCUCAGACUCGAAAAGUGCUGGGAUUACAGGUGUAAGCUGCCAUGCCCAACCCAAACUAUCUUGAAAAAGCCUUCAAAUUUGAGAGGAGGCUGAUAUAAGUAAUAAUAAGACUUCAGUCUCCUGUUUAACUGGCUCUAUGUAUAUAAAACUCUUUCUCUAUUGCAAUUCCCCUGUCUUCAUAAAUUGGCUCUAUCUGAGCAGCAGGCAAAAUGAACCAAUUGGGUGGUUACAACAGUAUCAGCAUAUACAGUAGAAUUGUAAUAUCCAU